UCACAGUUCUGGAGGCCUGGAAGUCCAAGGUCCAGGUGUUGGCAGAGUCGACAUCUAGGGAGGGCUGCCCCCUGCUUCCAAGAUGGCGUCUUGCCGCUUCCAAGAUGGCGUCUUGCCGCCGUGUUUGUGUCCUCAGAGGGCCAGAGUAGAAGAAACCAGGUAGCUCUCUGGAGCCUCUUUCAUAAGGGCAUUAAUCCCACUCCCGAGGGAGAAGCCUUCAUGACUUAAUAAUGCUCCCAGAGGCCCCAUCUCAUAAUACCAUCUCAGUGAGGUUUAAGUUUUAACCUCUGAACUUUGGAGGGAUCCCAGCAUUCAAACCAUAGCAGGCGCCUCUGGGAUUACUGUGGACCGAGUUCUUCUCAGGUGUGCCUGAGGCGGCUGUGUCUCCUACUCUGCGAACCAUCUGGUUGUGCUGUCUAAGGAGGCCCCUGAGAAGGCCCACCUUCACCGCUUGUGUUUUCAUUUUCUCCUCUACACCAGGAGAAGUCUGCUGAGCCAUGGUCUGGAAGAUGUCAACCACAGAGGACUCCUGGGCUGUUCUAGGGAGUUGGGCUGUUGUCCUGAGGGCAAUGGAGAGCCACUGACCCAUUUGACGGAAGAGAAUGACCAGAGCAGAUUUGCACCUGUGGAAGAUCUCCCUGGCACAGUGGGGAGCACGGGCUAGAGGGGACAAGGCCAGGGGAUAAACCAGGAGUUGGCAUGAAGAUGAAGAGACAGACUGAGCUUGGCUAAGUGUUUUGCUGUAAGUCACACAGUUUGGAAGAUUUGGAAUUCUGGACAACUGGACUUGAAACCACCAUGAUGCCUCACUGCAUCCCCGACUUGGGAAAUCCGAGUCAUCAUUUGUAAUGAUCUUCUGCAUCAUUCAGAUGUCAUUCAGUACUCACUAAUGUGCUUUCUACACGGCUUUUCCGAAAUAGCUGGCAUCUGCAGCACUCUGGGCCGGAGACUUCCCGGGGGUGAAGAUGGUGUAGGCGCAUCCAGUGUGGACAGGAGGUGCCAGUUUAAAGGAUGACUGUUCAUGGCCACCUCACAAUCUGUGCACCCCCCUGGUGCCCAAGUAGCAGGGACAGGGCUGUGAACUUCCUGCAGGGACCAAACCCCACUAUUGGCAGCUGCUGGUCUUUGUGAUUGCUCCUAUGUCAGGCUUGGGGGACAGAAGACAUUUUUCUUUUGCUGAAACCUGAAGGGGAACAAAUCGUGUAAAACUUGGCAUCUAAAUCUUCCCUUUCCCUCUAAGGAAAACCUCUGCAAUCAUUCUGCAAAGUAUUCUCUCUCCUUUUGUCCUGUUUAAGAUUCGGGUGUUGACAACUUCCCUUUGGGAGACCAUAUUAGGGUCUCAGAUUUCACCAUCAAGGAAACCUCUAAGUAUUUUUGCAGAAAGCUCCUGAUUAGAUUGAUCUCGGCACCGCAGCCUUCCCCCAAUCCUGGGCUAAGCCACAGAGAGACUCUGCUUGCUGGGCAGCUGUUUGUGGGUAUCUUGCGGCGGUGUUUCUGCUUUCUUGCUCAACCACCCAGAUUUAGCUAUUAAAGUUCCCCUCAUAAAUCAGCCACGCCGCGUAUCUUCAUCAUCUCCUUCCAGUUUGUCUAUAAGCUCUCUGCCCUCCAAGAAAUAAAUUACCCGCAAUUACUCAAAGUUAGUAAUUGAAUUUAUUUUGGUGGUAGAGAGAAAAUUUAUCCAUUUUGCUAGUAAUUUGUAGUCAUUUUUAGUAAUUGAUAGUAAUUUUCGAGUAAAUACUAAUUAACUGUUUCACUAAGUAAAAGAAGUAUAGAGUAAUGUAUUCACUAGGCAUUAGUAGUCCCAAUUUAUCUUUAUACCAGCAAGCGGUUUCGGUGGAGCUGAUAAGAUCCAGUGGCAUUACUCUCGCGGUGUUAAGCUCUGAAAAAGUGAUCAAGACUGUGUGGCUUGUCCAGAAUCAGCUGCACAAUCACCGCCAGGAAGGGGCUCCCCAGGCUUCAGACUUUGGCUCCAUACAGCGUCUGAGAGGAGGGGGCUGGAUGCAGAGGAAUGGGCCCCAAAGGAGGGGUUCCUGUCACCCUGCAGGAAGCCGAUGUGGCAUUCUCCCUGCCGCAUGUCACCCUCCUUGCCCAUGUCGCAAGGUCCUGACCACCAUGUGGAUUCCUCCACGUGUAGGUGGACAGGAUCUUUGACUGACGUUUGGACCAUUCUGAAGAUGUGCUUAUUUUUCAAACAGGUCUGCAAGUGAAAUUUGCUACAUUGACCAAAGUAGAAGUUUUUAUUUCAUGAAAUGAUCCCAUUAAUUCCUACUAUCUGGCAGGUACUUAGUUUUUAGCCAGUAAGUUAUGUUUUCCUUUAAAAUCAUUCUCUGAGUGCUCAUCAGUGAAGCGAAGGUUGCCCGUGUGGGGUGUUGUGGCACUUGCUGCGUGGCCCUGUUAUCCCGCCUUUGCUCCUCUGUUUUUCCGGCAGAGGGCUCAAAGCAUGUUUGUUGGGUGAGAGAGAGAAGUAGUGAUUUUCCCCAGGACAUGCUCCUAGUUAGAAAAUAAUAUCCCUCUAGAAUUAAUUAAUUAAUGGGAGUUGAUACAAUUAACAAAUACUGAGUGACAAAUUCUACAGAGGUGCCAUUCUCUAAUUAGUGCUGUGGUUUAGGGCACUGCAGAGCCUCUUAGCUUCCAUACCCUGACCGGUAAAACGAGGGGCUAACCUGAAACUUCCCACUACAAUCUAUCUUCCCAGGGUUUUUUUUUUUAAAGUAGAAAAACAAUUAAAAUGUGUUUUUAUAUUUAUUUAAAAUGUAAUACACUGUCAUGAGGAGUAUUUUGGAAACUAAGCAAACAAGCAAAAAGGCACUGACAUCAUUCAUUGUUCCCAGAUGUAAUUAAUAUAUUAGCACAUUUUCUUUCAGACUUAUUCUUUCCUGUAGGUUUGUUUUUUCAUUGUAAUCAAUCAGAAUAUAAACUUCGAUUUGUUUAAUUCUCCCUUUGAUGAGAAUGUUCAAAAAACAUUAUAAUAUAGUCUGUAUAAGUAUAGUUUGUAAUGAUUCCAUAAUAUUCUAGUAAAUGCAACAACUGUAAUUUGCUUAGCCAUUCUUUUAUUUAUUUAUUUAUUUUGACAUUUAGGCUGUUUUAAAGUUUUUGUUAUUAUAAAUAACACUUCUCUGAACAUCUUUAUAAAGUUUGAUAUAUUUAGAUCGUUUUCUUUGGUUAGAUUCCCAGAACAAAAUUAUGAGGUCAAACGACAUGAAUAUUUUAAGGCUUACAUUACUCCCAGCCAAAUUUUCUUCCAGAAGUGCUGCGCUGGUUUCUCCUGCCCCCAGCACUAUGUGAGAAUUUCCGAUUUCACCACUCCAUCUCAGUUUUGGAUAUUACCAUUAAAAAUUUCUGCUGGUUGGAUGGGUCAAAAAUGGUGCCAUGUUUCAUAUUCAUUUUAUUAUUAACCGUGAGGUUAAAUGGUUUUUGUCGCAUUAUGCUUUGCAUUCUAUCCCCUUGGAAUUGCUUGUUUCUGUCCCUUUCCCAUUAAUCUAUUGGGAUGUUUAUGUUUUUC
rnacentral:lncRNA from 1 species